UACGUAGGGUGCAAGCGUUGUCCGGAAUUAUUGGGCGUAAAGAGCUCGUAGGCGGUUUGUCGCGUCUGCUGUGAAAACUCGGGGCUUAACUCCGGGCCUGCAGUGGGUACGGGCAGACUAGAGUGCGAUAAGGGAGACUGGAAUUCCUGGUGUAGCGGUGAAAUGCGCAGAUAUCAGGAGGAACACCGGUGGCGAAGGCGGGUCUCUGGGCAGUAACUGACGCUGAGGAGCGAAAGCGUGGGGAGCGAACAGG
rnacentral:rRNA from 1 species